rnacentral:lncRNA from 1 species
GAAUCCUGUCUUGUGAUCAUUCUGUCAUGUCUCUUGUCCCCAUUCCCCUCCCUGGACUUCUUGCUCUAGGUUGCUGUCCUGCGGGUUGGGACAACUACACCAGGAGGGCAAAAUGGGGGUGUCUGACCUCUUGGAACUGGAGUUACUACUUUUGUGAACCACCUAACAAGGAUGCUGGAAUCCAAACUCCGACAGAGCUGUAAGUAAGUACUCUUUAACUGCAGAAACAGCUUUACAGCUUCAGAAAAUUUUCCAGAAGUGAAGGUGAUUGAUUUCAAUUCAGAAAAGUUUUUCCAUCCUCAUUGUCACCUCUUCCCUCGUGCUAUCUAGAAAGUGAUCAAUUCAAAGUGUGCAAUCAGUAUUCAAAGCCCUAAUUCUGCUGCUUGCAACGCUGUCAGAGUCUUGUCUUGCUCCUCUGUGUUAUGCAAAGGGUACCAGCCUCUGCCUCUCAGGUUUCCUGUGGAGAGGAAAUAGGAUAGUGCAGGAAGUACAAUGGGAACGAGUUUUUCACAUUUGACAACCAGGAUGUGUCAGCUGUUACUGUCACAUCGUUCAUCACAGCAGAAAGAAGCAGAGUUCUCUCAAAGAAGCAAUUAUACUUAUUGAGGAAUAUGAUAUUGCUAAAGCCAAGAGCAUUGAGUAUUCACCUGAUAUAAAACUCAGAACAACAAUAAGUUUUAACUUCAAUACAGUGAGUGAGAAGCUUCCCACAUGAAUCAAAAUGUAUGUUCCCAUACAACUUCCUUUAUAGGUAAUUCUAGUCCUAUUAGUAAGUGGUAAGAAAAAAAAACAUAGAAAAAUAGUGGUCUCCAGAGCUUUGUUUCAUUAUAAAGUACUACAUUUAAUGGACUAGUGUUAUAAACUAAAAUCUCUACUGAAUAGAAGCACUCUUGACAAUAGCCCACAAUAUUUUUAGCACCUUUGGAACCAAUCCAAAGGUUUUAGCUACUUAAAGUUCCAUAACAUUUUAUUAAAAUGUGAUUAUAACUGUCAUAGUCUUCAUCUCUGAAGGUGGCAUUCUAAAAAAAGCCAAGACCAUCAUAGAAUCAUAUGACAUAAAUUAGAGAUUACUGUAGAACUCAUAAUUCAAUCCUUUUGUUUUAUGCCUAAGGAAACAAACUACUGACCAGUAAUGUUUUUAAUGUAAAUACAAAGCAAUACAAUUAAUCUUAUGGUACAGUUGGGAAUGAAUUUUUUUCUGAAAUGUCACCAACCUUGUAGCAGAGCAGGACAAGGCAGAGGUAAUGUAAUGACUCUGAAGAAGAUAUAACAAAAUUCUUAGCAGAGUCAUCUACUUUCUGUCUUUAAUCAUGUUAACCACAUUAUAUACUUGUGUUUUCUCAGUUCAAUCAAGUCUUAGUUAGCUCUCUCAUUUAGCAGUGGCCCUUACAGCUCAGUGAUGAGUCAUGUUCAGUAAUAGCAACCUCCUACUGGUAGUAGGGCAGACACCACCAACAUAUCUAAUGAAGCCCACGCAUGCCUUGCUUCCUGAUCAUCACAGCUCCUAAUCAUCUUGUUUAGCCUGUCUAUGCAACUGGCCUAAUUAACAAAAAUAAUCAUAGAAAAUGAAGGAAGUCCUGAGUGAAUGUGUGCUAUUGGCAUGGGCAAACAUAUACAAAGAACCCCAGUGUCUCAGUUCCAUGGGGUGACAAAACUUCCCUGGAUGAGGCUUAGAAGAAUGGCAAAACCUUCCUCAGAUCCAAGAGUGAAUAUUGAUAGUGUGUGUGGAAAAUGUGUUCCAUAGCUUUCUCCAUCUAGAAAAAUGGUCUGAAGAUUUAUCUCCUAUUAAGAUAGCUCCAAGCAAAUUAAUCAAACCUAUCUCUUUGUUCAUCUGUAUGUAAUAACCCACUUCUGUGUUCAUCUGUAUGCAAUAACCCAACCUCCCUGUUGAACUAUACUUAAUAAACCAGCUGAGUUUUUAAGUUGCUCCUGUUUCUCUACCCAAGAGCCCAGGCCACCUAAUUGCAGCAGCCUUUUUUUCUGAACAUGUCUGUCCUUUUUUCAUUUCCUCACAACCCCUGGUUAAGGCUUUGGGACCCAGGCAAGGAUGCAGCAAAUAAUAAAAUAAUAAAAAUCUCUUGUAUGGUUAUAUACUAUUACAGACCCUGAGGAGUCCCAUGUGUGACCUCUUAGUUCUGCAAUAUUUCAUUUAAACCACACACAGAAAAAAAAACUGAAAUAUCUUUAGCUCCACUAAGGACCAGUGAAUAACUGAGGUUAAGGAGUGAAAUAUAAAGAAGUCACUGAAAAUGAGAUCAUAGCAGAGCCAGGUUACAACCCAAAUCUAACUGAUCCCAAGAUCUGACCCUCAGUUUUACAAUUAGCAGUCAGCAGCAAUAUGGCCUGUUUACACUAGAAUAUGGAGGCUCUGACUCAGUUCUUAGGAGCAGCAUUUUCUUCCCUACACUCCUGGCUUAGGGAAAGACCAGCUGGCCUUGUACCACACACACUGCCCUACACUGCUGUGAUAACUCCUGAGAACUCCCUGCUUUGCCUCACCUGCUCCACUCAUGGCCCUGUAAACCUGUGGUUUUCAACCUGUGGAUCCGGACCUCCUUAAGGGUCAAAUGACCCUCAAAUUGGAUAUCCUGCCUAUCAGAUAUUUACAUUAUUAUUCAUAAAUUAACAAAGUUACAGUUGUUAAAUAUCAAUGAAAAUAAUUUUAUGGUUGGGGGGGUCACUGUAACCUGAGGAACUGUAUUGAAGAGCAGAAGCAUUAGGAAGAUUGGGAACCACAACUGGAGACAAAAGUGUUGAGGGCUGGCCAUCCCUUCUGUUAUAAAAUAUAGUUUCAUCUUAUGUAUUUUAAGGAAUAAAUCUAACAAAAUAUAUUCAGUUCUAUAAAUAUGCAUUGCAGUAUAUUGAGUAUUAAAGUUCGUUUAUUAUCCUAAUCAAAUGUCUUAAUGCUUUCUUCUGUUUUAUAUAUUCACCUUUUUAAAUCAUAUAUUCCUAAGUCCACCCAUUUUGCCUACCUUCAUUGUCACACAUUUUACAGUCAUAACUGCAAAGGUGGAGAAUAGAUACUAUUUACUCUUGAAGAUACACUUUGACAGAGUUAUGCGAUUAUUCACCCAUACUGUCCCCUCUGAAAUAGAAUGACCUUUCAGAGGUAGAUUGUACUGACUAACAUGUUUUACCACUGUGUUGGUUUGAAUAGCAACGUCCCCCAUAGACUCAUGUGUUUGAAUGCUUGUCCCAUAGGGAAUGACACUAUUAGUAGGUAUGGCCUUGUUGGAGAAAGUAUGACGCUGGGAGUGGGCUUUGAGGUCUCAGAAGCUCAAGCAACACCCAGUAUAUCAUUCCCUGCCUCCUACCUUCCUAGCUAGAUGUAGAACUCUCAGCUUCCAUGUUGCCUGCAUCUCUCCAUGCUUCCUACCAUGAUGAUAACGGACUAAACAUCUGAAAUUACAAGUCAAUCCCAAUUAUAUGCUUUCCUUUAUAAGAGUUGUCAUGGUCAUAGUGUCUCUUCACAGCAAUAGAAACCCUAACUAAGAAAGCACAAAUACCCUGAUAUUGUCUACAGUGAGCUGGGCAUUCUUACAUCAGUUAUCCAUGGAGACCAUGCCCCACAGGCAUGCCCAAAGACCAAUCUAAGCUAUCCUUCAAUUGAAGUUCCCUCUUCCCAUGUGACUCCAGUCUGUGUCAAGUUGACAAUAGAAAUUAACCAACACACCAUGCCAUUUCCAUUAGAAUUAAGUGUCACAGGGUUUCAGUACUCAGAGCAAAAUACUCAGCAAACAUUUUCUGCCCCAGUAGUUAUUGUGAGUGAUUGUGCCAUGUAACAGUUUCUUCUGAGACUAAAGCCUUCCAUCUAAGAAGGAAGCUCAUUAAGAUACAGGAUUUUCACAGAGAGGUGAAACAGCAGGAUGUUUUACUGGGAGGUGGAGCAGUCUGUCCUGCAGGAAAGAUCUGCAAGUACACAACUGAAAAUCGAUUCAGGAAGUCCCCAAAUCUAACAAGAUAUAUAGGGUAUAUAAGCUAUGAGGACUCCUUAGAGACACUUUUGGACAAACUGAACAGUCUGAAAGAGAUCAGCCAAGUUGCAUGAAAAGGACCCUCCCCAAACUGUUGAGCUAUCUUUAGGCUGUGCAGUGUGCUCUGGGUUUCCAGCUUUCCUGAACUGUCAUCCAUGCUGGGUUGGAUUUGGUGAUGCAGCUGUCUUUGAGUCACUUCUGUCUUCAAGUAACUCUUCAGCCAUGUUCCUGUAAGUAACCCCAAUAAAACGCAUUGUUUCAGCAAGUUGGACUUUGGUGGUAACUGUACUUUGGUUUCUUGCUGAUUCUCUAUCUGGGAUGAGUAGACAUUUGUUCACAUCUUUCCAGAAAUAGUGCCACACACAGAUAGAUACAUUAGAACUUGAACAGACUCAAGUAUAAGGCUUGAGGUCUUACAUAGGCUUCAGCAACAGUGAGUCAUGGAAAGAGUCUGAUCUUUAAGCAGGAUGAUACUACAUCUGAAGACUGGUUCUUUUUACUUCUAUGGGUAUUAGUCAAGUACUUGUGCCUUUUCCCUCUCCAGAUUAUCAGAAGUGCAUAAGAAACAUAUCAGCUGUUUCACAGUUCUAUUACCUAAUAUUGUUGCCUAUCUGUCCCCUGGUUUUGCCAAAGUGCUAAAAUCUUAACUAUAAGAUGUAAAAAUCUGUAUCUAACAGGAUUUCUGUCUUAGGGUUUCAGUGAUGUGAAGAGACACCAUGACCAUGGCAACUCUUAGAAAGAAAAACAUUUAGUUGGGGCUGGAUUAGUGUGUCAUUUAGUCCAUUAUCAUGAGAGACGCAUGACAGCAUGCAAGUGGUCAUGGUUUUAGAGAAGUAGCUGAGAGUUCUAUAUCUUUAUCUGCAGGCAUCAGGAAGUGACCGAGUGAGCCACUAGGCCUGGUUUGAGGUUCUGAGACCUCAAAGCCCACCCCAUCUCUUCCAACAAGGCCGUAUCUCCUGAUAGUGUCACUCCCAAUGUGACUAUGGGGUCAUUUUCAUUCAAACCUCCACAAUCUCUUAGGCUCAUUUUACUACAGAUUACAUGAAAAUGUUUUUUAAAAAUUGCUUAAAUUAACUGUGCCCACAUUCCAUAGUGAAAAAUAUACUAAGCUUUCUGUAUAACCUUACAUAGACUAUCUUUUCACAUAUCAGUACAUUCCCUGAAGGAUUUGCUAAUGUUUUCACUAAGAGCUUAUAUUCCUAUACUUUGUGUGUGGUUCACUAAUUAACUGGAUUUGAUCUACUGUAUCUGGUUCCUUCUUCUGCCCUCUUCUAAUUAAUAGGCUCUUGUUAGGCUGGUUUUCUUUAUCAAAUUAUAAUUUUGAGAAGUAAGCUGGGGAGAUGGCUCAAUUAAUAAUGGGCUUGCCAGGUAAGCAUGAAAACCUGAAAUCAUACUCUUGUCACCACUGUAAAAUGAUGGGUGCAUCGGUGUGUGCAUGCCAGCACAGGAAGGCAGACAGCAGGAUGUCUGGCGCUUGCUGGCCAGUUAGUCUAUGUGGUCCCCAGUCAGUGAAAGUCCUGUCUCAAAACACCUAAUGUCAAUCCCUGACCUAUGCACCCACCCAAAUACAUGUAUAAAUAUAAAUGUAGAGCAUACAAGUAAUUGUGCUCUUUCUUUAAUAGAUAUUUACUUAGUCCUGCCAUGCAUCAAAUAUUGUAUGCACCCAUAUCCUCAGAGUCAGCUGGGUUCAGCAGGUUUAUUGCUCUCUUGAUAAGCCCUAACCCUCAAGCCAUAUGAUGUGAGGUCUUGUUUGAACCAUAGUCUGGCAUCCCUUGAAUCAGCUCUUCUCUGCAGGGCCAUUUUUCUUUCCCUUGCUGUGGAACUUCACAAAAGUUCAAAUGCCUUUAGAGAAGGAGUUAGGGUUGAACCAAAAAGAAACCUUUUAAACCAGACUAGAAGGGUUUUUGGUGUGUGUGUGUGUGUGUGUGUGUGUGUUACUUUGAAAUUUACUUCAGAGUUGCAUCCUCAUAAAAAAGAAGAUCCUACACAGUCAGCUAACACUUCUAUACUUGUUCCCUGUAACGAGUUUUUUUCCUGUCCCACAAUCAAGCCCCCAUACAAUGACAUGGUGUCUUAUUAUUAAUAAUGAAAGUGUGGCUCAUAGUUUAGGCUUGUUCCUAACUAGCUCUUAUAACUUAAAUUGACCCAUUUAUGCUAAUCUACUUCUAUCAUAUGAUGCUACCUCUCUUCCAUCUUGUAUCUCCUGUUUCCUCUCUGUGUCUCAUGGCAUCUCCUGUGUGCCUAGAUUUUUCCUCCUCUUCCUUUCUUUCCCUGGAAAUCCCACCUAUACCUCCUACCUAGCUAUUGGUCAUUUAGCUUUUUAUUACACAAUCACAGCAAUACAUCUCUACACAGUGAACAAACAUGCCACAACAGUUCUUUUAAUAAUUCUUUCCUCUUUCAAAAAUGCUUUUAAAAUUCAAGAUCACACACACUAUUAAUUCUAAUACACUUAACUUGUGGAGGUGUCUAACUAACAGAGAUCUAAAACAACAAGCAUUUUAUGAGCAACAGUGAGAAUGAAGAAGCCAUUAACUGAGAUGAUUUUGAAGAAACAGAUGAAAUCCUGGAAAGAUUGGUAGCAGUGGGUAGAGUAUAAGAGUGGGAAAUUGUUCCCACAUGAAAUUAUUUAAUAUGUUUUGUUAUAUAGCUUUCAGAAUAAUGAAGUCCUCCUAGGUAGGCUUGAGAUGAUUUGAAGUAAACAAAGGCACAGCAUCAGCUCUCUAUUGCCUGUCAUUUGUCUAUCCCUCUCUAGCACCUAUCCUUUGUAUCUGCCAUUUGUUUAUUACUAUUGAUGUAGCUCGAUUUUUCUAUCUUAUCCAUUACCUCUCUGCAGCUCCUCAUAGCCAUUUAUCCCACCACACUUUCUUCUUAUAUGAUCAGAAUAAACACUGAAUGUGUUAACAUUUGAUUAUGCUGAAGAGGCAUGGGCCUCUUCUCCGCCAACCAGAGAAUUUCUAAUUCUUUGAAACACGCUUCAGAUUCGGCUUGCUUGACAUUUGAACUAAGCACCCUUUCCUCCACACAUCCUCGUCACUGGAUCCUUGUGCUUUUCUGCCUCUUUCUCUGCUUCCUGCUUAUAUGCAUAUGCCUUUACCAAUACAUUGGAGAGAUAUUUAAGUAGGCCUUGUAUGUCAAUGACAUUUGAGCAUCUGGUAUUUAUUCAGUCCUUACUAAAGUAUAGGUUGUCAAUUGAAAUAUUAACAGAUAAAUUUAAAAGUUCACAUAUGUAUCAAGAGGUGUAGUGCUCAGUAAGUUCAGGAUCCUCUGCAUUUCUCUUCUUCCUUUGUAUUCCAGGGGUAACAAUGACUGUUUUGCAUUUCAUCCUGGGAUUGCAUGGGAGAAAUCACAUAAAAUAAGGGAUGUAAAUAUAAAUGAGGAGACAUCCAGAUCACAACAAAGAAUGUCUCUAGUUAUGAAAUGAACUGUGUCUUUGCCAGGUCUCACAAUAGUUUUGCUCCACAAGUACAUAAACUUUACCAUAUUUUGAUGAUGAGUUUGAAAGAAAUAGCUGCAAAAAGUUUUGACAUGUCUUGUGGAGAAACAAAGUCUAACUCUGACCCCUCCACCCUCCAUCUUCUACCUGCCCCCAGUACCAGAAUCUUUGAUAUAUGGACAUUCUCCAAUCUUAUACCAUGGAUAACCCAUGUGUAGAAUUUCUGUUGAAACUUUUGCAAUAGUUUCUGCCAAGAUGCUUAAUCUGGAACUUUGGUUCCCAUGUUUUGAAAAGCCAAAACCACAUGGAGAGAUGAUAUGGAGGUUCUCAGGUAGAUAGUGAUGGGUGAGCCUGAUUUUUCAGGUAUUCUAGCUCAAAGAGUGUGGCGUGUGUGAAAAGAACUGAAAUAACUCUGACUGAAGCACUUCUAGAGAGCCACCCGCCCUGUGAGCCUGAGCAGCCACUCCCACUUUGCCCUUCAGAAUUACUGGCUCAUGGAAGACACAAGCACAAUAGAAGCAUCAUUCAUGCCACUAAAUCUUCAUUUUACAGGUAACUGGAAAAGAUUUUAUAUAUGCCAUGACAGUUUUACCUUUAUCAUUUAUUAACUGUGUUGCUCAGAACAGGCUAGGUAAACUAGGAGAAACCAGAAACAAGCAGCCUCAAUGACUUUAAUAAAACCACUCCAUUUGUCUAAAUAACAAAAGAUUAUAUCUGAGUUUGUUUAAAGAUGACUUAUACUGCAUAUUCAUGGUAGGUCAACAGGAAGGCUCUCCUCAUUCUGGUUAAUCAGGGACUCAGCUAUUUGGCACUGCCAUUCAUUGAGAUAACAGGUAACAGAAUUCUGUGAAGUCUUGCACCAGUAGUUACAUGUUAGACCUGGAAAUGAUACAUGUCAUUUCUGCUCACAGUUCACCCAUCAAAACUAAGAAGAUGACACUCCCACCCCACACCCCAGAAAAUGUUGGGAUCGUUAGUCUUGUCAUGUCCUUAAAAUGAAGGAACCCGGAAAGACUUGAAUUUGUCUUGGAUUUGGGGUUUUGUUUUUCGAAGUACUGAGGAUCAAACCCCAGGCUUCAUGCAUGCUAGACAAGCAGUGUGUUAUAGCAGCAUCCCUUAGAAAAAAAUAGGCAAACAGAAAUAAAGAUUAUCACACAAAGAUAUCGCAAGACUAGCCUUUCAAGCCCAAACCUCACCUUAAAUUGUGGGUCCAAGGUAAUACUCAUUUCUCCCUCACAAGGCCAGUGCCUUUUAUUGCUACCUUUUUACCAUACUGAACAACAUCUGUAUCUAAUCUUACCUAUCCUGCUGCACAUUGUCUGCAUAUAAAGCAGUGGUUUAGUGGUAUC